CAACACAUUCACCCUAAAACUUGAGAUGUACACCUGCUUGAAAUUUGAGGGAUCUUGCAACUCCCAAAAUAGUUCUGUAUUUUCUUUCCACCACCCCAUUCUGUUGAGGGGUAUAGACACAUGAAGUUUGAUGCAAAUACCAAGAUUAGACAUAAGAGAUUUAAAUUCAUGACUAAAGAACUCACAGGCAUUAUCAGUUCUAAGAUUUUUUACAGAAGUAGAGAACAAGUUUUGCAUUCUAGUCAGAAAAUCUUUGAGUACAACUAUCACUUCAGACUUAAACUGGAUAAGAAACAACCAAGUUAAUCUAGAAUGAUCAUCAAAAAUUGUAACAAAGAAUCUCUUUUUAUCAUAGGUAGGCACUCUAUAAGGUCCCAUAUAUCAUAAUGAAGCAGCUGAAAGGGAGCCUUAGACACCGAGAUACUAUGCUGAAAAGAAAGUUUAAUCAGCUUAGCAAGGGGAUACACAGUGCAUAUGUGAUCUUCAAACUUCAAAUGACUUAGUUCAGCAUGCCUUUUAAGCACCUCAAUAAGUGCAUGACCCAGUCUUUUGUGCCACAGAACACUAGAAUCCGACAACAACUUCACAUUAUUGGCACACUUAUUUACACUUGUAGGUUUAGAGGAAGCAUUUGGGAGAAUGUAAAGUCCUUGAUCUUCUUUACCAAUCCCCAUCACCAUGCUAGUAUAGAGAUCCUAGAAGAUGCAGAAGUCAGGAAAAAGCUUCACUGAACAUUGCAACUCCUUGGUAAGUUUUGAAAUAGAUAGAAGAUUAUAUUUUGAACUCAGGCAGAUAUAAGACAUCAGUAAUGAGGGAAUUGUUGAGUACACCAGAGGUGUCUUUGUGAAAGACUGAAACCUAAUUACCUGUUGGAAGAUAGACCUGACUUUAUAAAGACUGAUGCAUUUUAUGAUAAUUAUGAAGCAUAUCAGGGUUGGAGACCAUAUGAUUAGUAGCACCAGAUUCAAUAAUCCACCUAUCACUUAAAGUAGGACUAGUUGGAGCUAUCGUGAUGCCUGCAUUUGAUGCAGGUGAAAUGGAAUCCUUUUCCUUCCCUUUGUUGAGCAGCAUGACAAGUUGUUGAUAUAAUCUUGGUGUAAAAUGAGGAGUAGGACUUGAAGUAGUUGGGGAUGAACUGGCUUGAGACAACUUAUUACUAGUAGGGUAUGUAUCCACAGGGAAUGCAGAGUCUACCAUAUGUGCAUACUGUCCUGAUCCUUUCUUAUUGGACUUGGGCUAAUCUGAUGGGUAACCAAUCAGCUUGAAACAUUGAUCCUUAGUAUGACCAUUAUAACCACAAAACUCACAAACCACUGAUGGUUUUUUUUGUGGAGCACCUCUAUAGGUAGAAGCUAGUGGUCUUCCUUCAUCGAUACCUGUAGUCUUAACUAAACUUGUACCAACUGAACCACCAGGACCUAGAUAUCCACCUUUGCCUUUGUAACCUGGUUUAUGGGUAAAGAGAGCUGCUACAUCCAGUGUAUCACUAAGAUGAUCCACAGAGGAACUAGAAGCUAUGGAUCUAUGGCUUUCAUGAUCUACAAUCAUGAAGUACACUUUGCUAAUGGAUGGUACAGGGGUCAUUAAUAGGAGUUGGCUUCUACACGGAGAGUAUGUUUCAUUUAGACCCAUUAGGAACUGUAAUACUCUUUGAUAAUCAAAGUGUUGAGCAUAACUUCUAGAUUCAGGGUAUCUAUAUCUAGGAGAAGGCAUAAGAGCAUCAAAUUCAUCCCAAAGAGUUCGCAUUCGAGAAAAAUAAUCAGCAACUGACAGAGUUCCCCAAGAGAAGGUCAUAAUUUCUCUAUGCAAGUAGAAUACUCUACAGCCACUCACCAUAUCAAACCUUUUCUUUAAAUCUAUCCACACAUUAUGAGCAUUAGAGGCAUACAUAAUACUACUCAACAGAUCCUUUCGUACUGAAUUCAUAAUCCAUGACAAAACAACAGCAUUAACACUCUCCCACUGAUCAUGUACUGAUUCAUCAAUGUGAUUUUUAGGAUAUCUCCCAUCAACAAAGCCUAUUUUGUUCUUACCUAUGGGACUCAACGCCAUAGAUCUACUCCACAGGGCAUAAUUUUCAGUGCCAGUAAGCUGGAUAGAAAUAAGAGAGCUACCUGGAGUGUCAUUUGGACGCAAAUACAGAGGAUAAUUGUGGUCAAUUUCAAUUGUACCAGUUAAAGUAGGUGUAUUUCCAGGUACUGCAGUUGUAGUUGAAGGAUAUGCAACUGAGUUUCGAGUAACCGCCAUUAAAGUUCACUGUAACCAAUAGAAUAGUAGCUGUUAUUCUCACUGAUCAAGUGAAAUCGAUAGUCUCUAGUACCGAUUACAGCUAGCGACCAGUAGUGGAUUUGAUACCAUAUUAGCUUUCUAUAGUAUUGAGCUAAGAUCUUGAAGAAGAGGAGUAGAAGAUUCUAGAAGAAGAGUAGUUUUCAUUGAUUGAUUUUCUCUUAGCUUUUUAUGGCACUACAAGUCACAUUUAUAGAGUUGGUUUGCACCUUGUGACAGUUAUAUAAUGACAGCUGUCACACUUAACUAACUAACUCAGUCGCACAUACAUCACACACACUAACUUCCUCUAGCUAAUCAUCAACUUGUUGAUUACACUUUUCACUGUCCUUGGCAGAGAAACACGGAAAGAAAGAAGCCGAGGCAAGUAUGGAACGAGUAAUGGGAAUGUACAAAGCAAUGGUAACCUGUUUCCUUCAGAAGUCUGAUGCAUAUGCAGAUAGCAUAUGUUAAGAAGAUGGUUACAAUUCCUUCGCCAAGACGUCAGAGGCUAAAGAUAAAUUGUCAGACAUCGAUUGCAUUCUCCGAGCUAUUUUCCCCUUUUUUCUUUUAUUUUAUUGUGGUGAAUAAGUGAUGAAGUUGUAUUGCUAUUGUUAUGACAGGUUUUUUUUUUCAAUUUUCUCCCUUUUUCUUCAUUUUGUUUGCCUAUAGUUAAAAACAAGUUGUCUAGUAAUAUUCCAAUAUUUGUUCUUUCAAAUUCUUCUUCUCGUAUA